AGCAUAUCAAUAAGCGGAGGAAAAGAAACUAACAAGGAUUCCCGUAGUAACUGCGAGUGAAGUGGGAAGAGCUCAAAUUUGAAAUCUGGCGGUUCUGGCCGUCCGAGUUGUAAUCUAGAGAAGUGUUACCUGCGCUGGACCGUGUACAAGUCUCCUGGAACGGAGCGUCAUAGAGGGUGAGAAUCCCGUCUCUGACACGGACUACCAGGGCUUUGUGGUAUGCUCUCAAAGAGUCGAGUUGUUUGGGAAUGCAGCUCAAAAUGGGUGGUAAACUCCAUCUAAAGCUAAAUACUGGCGAGAGACCGAUAGUGAACAAGUACCGUGAGGGAAAGAUGAAAAGAACUUUGGAAAGAGAGUUAAACAGUACGUGAAAUUGCUGAAAGGGAAACGCUUGAAGUCAGUCGCGUUGGCUGGGGAUCAGCCUCACUUGUUUGUGUGGUGUAUUUCCUGGUUGACGGGUCAGCAUCAAUUCUGACCAUUGGAGAAAGGCUUGGGGAAUGUAGCAGCCUCGGCUGUGUUAUAGCCUCUUGUCAGAUACAGUGGUUGGGAUUGAGGUGUGCAGCACGCCGCGAGGCCGGGGUGAAUAGCCCACGUUCGUGCUUAGGAUGUUGACAUAAUGGCUUUAAGCGACCCGUCUUGAAACACGGACCAAGGAGUCUAACAUGCCUGCGAGUGUUUGGGUGGAAAACCCGUGCGCGCAAUGAAAGUAAAAGUUGAGAUCCCUGUCGUGGGGAGCAUCGACGCCCGGACCUGAACUUUUGGGAUGGAUCUGCGGUAGAGCAUGUAUGUUGGGACCCGAAAGAUGGUGAACUAUGCCUGAAUAGGGCGAAGCCAGAGGAAACUCUGGUGGAGGCUCGUAGCGAUUCUGACGUGCAAAUCGAUCGUCAAAUUUGGGUAUAGGGGCGAAAGACUAAUCGAACCAUCUAGUAGCUGGUUCCUGCC
rnacentral:rRNA from 2 species